rnacentral:rRNA from 1 species
AGAGUUUGAUCCUGGCUCAGAAUGAACGCUGGCGGCGUGCCUAACACAUGCAAGUCGAAUGUGCCGCAAGGUGCAUGGCAGACGGGUGAGUAACGCGUAGGGAAUCUACCUUUUAGUGGGGAAUAACGCUCCGAAAGGAGUGGUAAUACCGCAUGAGACCGUAGUCUGGGAUGACUACGGUGAAACCUGGGGACCGCAAGGCCUGGGGCUAAAAGAGGAUCCUGCGUCUGAUUAGCUAGUUGGCGGGGUAAUGGCCCACCAAGGCGACGAUCAGUAGCCGGCCUGAGAGGGUGAUCGGCCACACUGGAACUGAGACACGGUCCAGACUCCUACGGGAGGCAGCAGUGGGGAAUUUUGGACAAUGGGCGCAAGCCUGAUCCAGCCAUUCCGCGUGCAGGAUGAAGGCCCUCGGGUUGUAAACUGCUUUUGUACGGAACGAAAAGCCUUCUUCUAAUACAAGAGGGUCAUGACGGUACCGUAAGAAUAAGCACCGGCUAACUACGUGCCAGCAGCCGCGGUAAUACGUAGGGUGCAAGCGUUAAUCGGAAUUACUGGGCGUAAAGCGUGCGCAGGCGGUGAUGUAAGACAGAUGUGAAAUCCCCGGGCUCAACCUGGGAACUGCAUUUGUGACUGCAUCGCUGGAGUGCGGCAGAGGGGGAUGGAAUUCCGCGUGUAGCAGUGAAAUGCGUAGAGAUGUGGAGGAACACCGAUGGCGAAGGCAGCCCCCUGGGUCAAGAUUGACGCUCAUGCACGAAAGCGUGGGGAGCAAACAGGAUUAGAUACCCUGGUAGUCC